rnacentral:rRNA from 1 species
GAUGAACGCUGGCGGCGUGCCUAAUACAUGCAAGUCGAGCGAACAGACGAGGAGCUUGCUCCUCUGACGUUAGCGGCGGACGGGUGAGUAACACGUGGAUAACCUACCUAUAAGACUGGGAUAACUUCGGGAAACCGGAGCUAAUACCGGAUAAUAUAUUGAACCGCAUGGUUCAAUAGUGAAAGACGGUUUUGCUGUCACUUAUAGAUGGAUCCGCGCCGCAUUAGCUAGUUGGUAAGGUAACGGCUUACCAAGGCAACGAUGCGUAGCCGACCUGAGAGGGUGAUCGGCCACACCGGAACUGGGACACGGUCCAGAAUCCUAAGGGAGGCAGCCGGAGGGAAUCCUCCGCAAUGGGCGGAAGCUUGACGGAGCAACGCCGCGUGGGUGAUGAAGGUUUUCGGAUCGUAAAACCUUGUUAUUAGGGAAGAACAAAUGUGUAAGUAACUAUGCACGUCUUGACGGUACCUAAUCAGAAAGCCACGGCUAACUACGUG